GGUCAAACAGCUUCAACGGUUAUGCUGCAAAUAACUCUUCAACUGACUUCAGUUCAUCCUCCCUGUCUCUUAUCCUCCCUCUACCUCUUCCUCUUGCUGCUGUCCAUAUAUCCAUUGUUGUUUUUAUAAAUGUCUUACAUGAAGCCUGUUUCUAGUGCUGACAUCCUGGGUGAUGAGUCAUGAGUUCAUGUGUGUAGCAUUUUUAAUGGCAAUGUUUUGAAAAUGGCAGACAAGUGAAUAUGUCAGAUUUCUGUGUCUUACUUAGAGAACCGUGUGCAGUGUUUUGAAAAAAGUGCCAAGUUGAUUUGAAAAUUGGGUGCAGAGCUGAAAAUGUGUUCAGAGUUUUGUAGAUUUGAGCUGAGGUUUUGCUCUUUGAGUGUGAGUUUAAAUAAUUAUGCUUUAUGUGAGAUUGUUGUGUGUUAGCAACUGAAAGAAAAUGUAAGUUCAAUGGUAUGUAGUUGGUUGGACAAAGUGUCUUGUACUAUAAAUGAAGUGAGUGCCAUUUGGUGUAAAAGUUGGGUUUUGAUAUGUGUUUAUCUCGUUUUGGGUGCAGUUAGUCAUUCUGCAGGAUGUAUGAAGUGUGUUGCACUUUGGGUGUAAGUGUUUUGAGAAAAUGAGCCGUGUUUUCAAAAACUUGUGUUAGCAAUUGAGAAACAUUGUAAAGUGAGAUGAUGCUGAUAUUUCAACUUUGCAUACUACCCUACAAAUGACAGUGUGCCACAUUUCUUGGAAAAAUGUUUUAGUUCUUAGUACAACUUGUGCGUUACAUGUAUUUACCGAAUUUCAAAGUGAAUGAUUGACAAUGGAUUGAUUACAUUGCUCAACAAGUCCAAAUAAAAAGGAAGCUGGCAGCACAGAUCAGAAGAAUCAACAACGCAGUGUGGCAAUACAAGAUUUGUAUGCAGACUGGUGAAAACAUGAAGACUGUGAUUCUCGCUCUCAUGGUGUUGGUGGUGGUCAGCUAGGGUGGGUUCAGUGUUCAGGAAACACGAAAAGCCUGCAGUAUAUUCAAUUCAAAGUGCUUUGUUGAUGUGAAGCGUUGACGUGUCACUGUUCAAGCAUCCCUGCGAUAUGUCCAGGUUCAGUGGAAACCUGCGAGUUAGGUGAAGUCUGUGGCAGCAUCGACGUUGGUGUUGGACCCCGUCCCUACCAUGUGAGGGAGUGCAUGAAAGCAGAUGAAUGCAUGCGUCUGACUAACGCGGGAGGAGCGUAUUCAUGACGACAUGUGCAACUGAUGGACUGCCUGCAACACAACUUCCAGUAUUAAUAAUAACCUGCUGUGCACUCAAGCACUCAUAAUAAAGAUC